GACGUAGGGCGCGAGCGUUGUCCGGAAUUACUGGGCGUAAAGCGUGCGCAGGCGGUUCGUCGUGUCCGAUGUGAAAGCCCCGGGCUCAACCUGGGAAUGGCAUUGGAAACUGGCGGACUCGAGUGUGGCAGAGGGGGGUGGAAUUCCGCGUGUAGCAGUGAAAUGCGUAGAGAUGCGGAGGAACACCGAUGGCGAAGGCAGCCCCCCUGGGCUAACACUGACGCUCAGGCACGAAAGCGUGGGGAGCAAACAGG
rnacentral:rRNA from 1 species